ACGGUUAAAUCACGCUGAAACACCGGUUCUUGUUCAAUCACCGAAGUUAAGCAUCAUAGAGCCAGGUCAGUACUUAGAUGGGGGACCGCUUGGGAACACCUGGUACUGUAAG
rnacentral:rRNA from 1 species